rnacentral:rRNA from 1 species
UACAGAGGUCUCAAGCGUUGUUCGGAUUCAUUGGGCGUAAAGGGUGCGUAGGUGGCGCCAUAAGUCAGGUGUGAAAUCUCGGAGCUUAACUCCGAAACUGCAUUCGAUACUGCCGUGCUUGAGGACUGGAGAGGAGACUGGAAUUUACGGUGUAGCAGUGAAAUGCGUAGAUAUCGUAAGGAAGACCAGUGGCGAAGGCGGGUCUCUGGACAGUUCCUGACGCUGAGGCACGAAGGCCAGGGGAGCAAACGGG